AUUGAACGCUGGCGGCAGGCCUAACACAUGCAAGUCGAGCGGAUGAAGGGUGCUUGCUCCUGGUUUCAGCGUCGGACUGGUGUGUAAUGCCUAUGAAUCUGCCUGGUAGUUUUUUAUAACGUCCGGUAACGGGCUCUAAUACCGCAUACUUCCUUAUGGAGAUAGUUUGGUUUCUUCGUACCUCACGCUAUCAUAUGAUCCUAGGUCGGAUUAGCUAGUUGGUGUGGUAAAGGCCUACCAAGGCGACGAUCCGUAACUGGUCUGAGAGGAUGAUAAGUGACACGGGAAGUGAGACACGGAACAGAAGACGACGGGAGGCAGCAGUGGGGAAUAGGGGACAAGGGGGGAAAGCAUGAUAAAGAAAGGCCGAGUGUGAGAAGAAGGUAUUCGGAUUGGAAAGAAAUGUAAGUUGGGAGGAAGGGAAGUAAGAUAAUACCUAGAUGUUAUGACGUUAACAAAAGAAUAAGCACCGGCUAACUACGUG
rnacentral:rRNA from 1 species